rnacentral:lncRNA from 1 species
UAUGAGCUAUGCUUAUGUUUGUUGUGACGCCCCCAAAUUCGGGUACUUGAAACCCUUAUUUAGUGCUUCACGAUAUCAAACAUUCAACAUAUAAUAAACUUAAACUUAGUAGAGUUAUUACAUCAAAGUGCUACUAAUCCCAGGUACGUAGACCUUUAAAUGUUCAUUACAUGAUAGUUUAAUAUUUACAAACAUGUAAACUAUCUAUUACAUCCAAUCCCAACUAAUCUGUUACUUUUCCUUUCCCUUUGUCUUUUCCAGACCCUUCUGCCCGAGUCUGCUCAGCUGAAAACAUUUAUGAUAAAACAAGUAUGAGCAUUUAAUUGCUCAGCAAGUAAUAGCAUUCUUUAAGGCUCAACAAGAAAUAAAUAUUUUCUUUAAAGCAUGCUUUGACAGUGAAUCAAAACUGUAAAGCAGUAAAUCUUGAAUCAUUCACAGUUAUGGAAUAUCAUAACAUUGAAUAACUGAGAGGUUUUAAGAACAUGAACAUAUUUUUCUUUUCUUGAAAAGGUUCAAUCAGAAAUAUUAUCAGAUGAACCGUCUUAUCUUACGAGCACGUAGCGUGAUAAACCAUUUAUGCCCUGUAUUGAUCAAUACUAUCUUUUCCAGAACAAUUUUCAUGUUCUACAUCACCACUCCUAGAGUGCAAUAAAAAUAUCCCAUUUAAGGGUAUGUUCAUUCUCAGUUUUAGAUUCCAACUACAACAAUAUAGCUGGACAGCUUAAAUCAUGGCAAAAUAAUAUUUCAAGACUUAUAUAAAAAAUUGAAAUAUUUUACAUCUGUGUCUGGCCAGAAGGAAUGGCUCAGGCUCCUUUGCAACCUGCUCAUGCAUAUUGAAUUUCAUUUGAUAUACAUGAUAAUACAUUACCCAAUCUAUUGAAGCUAAUUGGAAUAAAAAGAUUAUUCAAUCUUAUAAUAUUCGUAAAUAAGGAAAGACAGUUCAGAAUUUAAAGAAUCUGUCCACAUAUGAAUAAUCUCAGAAUACUUGCUCAAUAAAGAGUAAGAUUUAGAUACUUGCCUUGUUUGUAGACUAUUUGUAUAAUUUCAGCUUAACUUGUGUAUCCUCACAGAUCCUACACAAUUAUUUGUAUUCAUAGGCAUAUUAGCCAAAUAGCUAAGUCAUAUAGCUUGUAAGUUCACGUAUCACAUAUUCACAGUGAUCAUACUUUUAGUUUAUAUUCUCAUACUUGAGAUAUUUCUUUACAUUUUUCAAAUAUUUCUUUAUAUUUUUCAAAUAUCUCAUCCAUGUUCUUACUGCCUUUUCUUUCUGUUAAAGGGUCUGACAUAAUUUCUGCUCAUUGAUUUUAGUUCAUGUUUCUUUUACUUCUUCCAUUUGUCAUAAGUAUACUUUGCAAUUUUCCUUAGAAUUAGGUAUUCAAGGUGAAUACCUAAGAUAUUUUAUGUUUGAAAAGGUAACUUGAUAGCAUAUCUUAUACAUCAAAGGUAAUUUCCAUUUGUAUGGUUAUUCCUUGGUAUUUUUUUAUGAUUUACAGACUCAUUCUGAUAUGCCAUUUCGUUAAUAUUAGCUUGUAUUCUUUUACAAAACAGUCAUUAUUAUAGCUGCUAAUCAACAGCUGUUACUGAUCAUUCUAUUUGUUAUGGUUACUGGUAUCAUCUAUAUGUUGCCACCACUAAGCAGCAAAUCCCUCCUUUGCUGCCCAUCUUAUUUAAGUUAUGGUUUUAUUAUAUAUUAUGUAUAUUUUCCCUUUUUGAAAUUCAGAAGUUAAGAGUUACAAGUAAACUCUCAAAUUACAACACAUAGCAAAAAAAAUGACUUACCAAAGCAGUAAUAGCAGCUGCUCGCUGCUGCUCACUGCUGUUAUUAUACAGCAGUCCCUUUUCCCCAAUCCCUUGUUUUAAGAGAUCAAAAUUCUCACCGUUUUGGCCCAUGUGUUGUUACAUUUUGAAUAUCAAAUUGGUGGUGUACUCACCCCUUUAAGAAAAUAUUAGCCAACUGAUAUGGGUUACUACUAUUUAACAUCCAUAUGAGCAAGAAAGACCUCUUUUGUGUUGCCCAAAACAGUCACCUACUGUUGCCGUUAGGCAGCAGCCCCCCUUUCUUAACCACUACCUUGUUAAACUUUUAUUCCUUACAUUCUUGAUUUGUUUAUAUGAAGUUUUGAAAAUAAUAUAAUUGAUACUUCCACACUAAGAUAAUCUAUUGAGUCAACUGCUGCUGCCCAUAGGCAGCAGCCCUUCCAGUGCUUUGCCCAGCCUUAACCCCUACAUUAACGACCCCUUUACACUAUGUUUUGGACAUUACCCAACUGGUAUUUACACUUAUUACAGAGAAAUACCAGCUGGGCUGUUUUAGAAAUUUAUCUACACUAAAUGAGAGUCCAAGGAAGCCCCCAUCUGAUGCCAUAAACAGACAUGGCUGCCACCGUGGGCAGCAGCCCUGCUCUUAUUUAAUGCCAUUUUUUGGCAACCAUUUGGUAAAUUAGUCACAACCUUUUAUCAAAAAUAUUUACAUAAUACACCCCACCUUAAAAUAACAUGCAAUCUAUAAUCUCUACAAAUAAUAUGCAAUCAACUUGGUGGCUGCCCCAAAACAGUGAGUAAAAGUGUUUGUUAAAUUCUAGCAUUUAAGUUUAGCUUAAAAAAAAUAGUUUUCAUUCCAUUUUACAGGACACAACCCUUUACUUACCCUCAAGCAUGGUAUAUAUAUAUAACCCAUGCUUUAAUUCUAACGAAUAAGCAAUUGUUAAGCAAAACAGUUCAUUGAGGAAUUUUAUCAAACACUUUACAGGCACUGUUUCGUAACACAAGUGUCAUAGCUAUUUAUUUUCUUUAAAAAUCCCAGUUUAGUUCCCUUAUUACUCCACAACCACCUAUCUCCUUGUGCCUAAAUUAUAUACAUAGCAGUCGAUUACACAAUCACAUGAAUAAUCAAGUAGUUGACAAUCUAAUUAGCUUAUUUUCUUCAUAACAUGCAAUUCUUUUGAGAAACACAUACCUAUACUAAAUAGAAAAAUCCCACUGUUUAGCAUGCUAUCCCCGAAUGGUUACACUACUAUAUAAAAUCAAAUCGGUAGCACACCUUCCCACUCAACCCGUAGCAAUUCCCAUAACCAUUAAGUAGUGCAUAUAAAACAUUUUAAAGUAAAUAUAUAGCAAAGAUGCAUUACCUUUCUAAGCCUUGAUUUCCGAAUUAGUUGGUUGCAACCCAAACACUUCUGAGUUUCUCCCACUUGAUAGCGUAACCUUCCUUAGUUAUCAGAGCUUUCCCAAACUAACAGAACAUAAAGCGUCUACCAGAUUUUUCUUUUAACAACAAAGAGCCUAUUACUUGAACAUGAACUGGAGAAGGGUUAUAUGAUAUCUAAGUUCUGAUAUCUUUAACAGAGAUCUACACUUCAAGGAGUAUAUACGUGGUUAAUACGUUUGUAGGCUAACUGAGUUGUUAAUGCUAGGUUUCUGAUUAAAUGCCAGCUCAUGCUAAACUAAUAGAUCAUUUCCUGAUUAAAAGCCACGUAUCCCACAUUAAGCUGAGUUUUAAUUUUCUACUGUUAAGCUUUAAUUCUUAAGGCUGUGUUUGGGCAAGAAAAUAAUAAUUACCUCCCUUUCUGUACUUAUUGCACCACUUAUAACGUAUUUUAGAUAUACCAAAAUGCAUUUCAAAAUUUUGAAUAAAAUAUCUAUACAUCAUUUCCAUCAAAGUAGAGGGUAUUUAUUAAAUAUAAUAAAUAUUAAUUAUUAUACUUGACAUAUCACCACAUCACAUAUUACACUGCACAUGAUAAUAUCAUAACACAUACUGAAGUAUAUAUAUGUAAACAAAAUAUUCCAGAAAAAUCUUAUUUUAUUUACUCAAGAAAAAUGCGAUUCCCUACAUUUUCCCUCCCUUAUAAAGAUUCCGUCCUCGGAAUCGAAAAGUACAAUUACCCGAACAAAUGCGGAUAAUUCUUUUCAUUCUUUCUUCUAACUCCCACGUUGCUUCUUCAGCGCUGUAGUUUCUCCACAAUACCUUUACUGAAGGUAUUGUCUUAUUUCGCAAAAUUUGUUCUUUCCUAUCCAAUAUUUGCACAGGAACCUCUUCGUAGGUUAAAUCUUUCUCAAAUUGGAUAGGCUCAUAUUCAAUCACAUGUUUAUAAUCUGGCUUGUAUGGUCGUAAAACUGACACGUGAAACACGUUAUGAACAUGCUCUAGCUCCGGAGGUAAAGCUACUUCAUAAGCUAUCUCUCCCACUUUUCUCAAAACUUCAAACGGUCGUAUAAAACGAGGACUUAACUUUCCCUUCUUUCCGAAACGUAUUUUCCCUUUUCAAGGAGAUACUUUCAGAAACACAUGCGAUCCGACUUCAAAAUCUCUUUUCUGUCUGUGCAAAUCUACAUACUUCUUCUGGUGAUCUUGAGAAGUUAUUAAUCGCAUUCGUAUCAACUUAACUACUUCUGCAGUUUGUUGUACUAGUUCGGGACCUAGUAGACGACGUUCGCCCACUUCAUCACAACACAAGGGUGUUCUGCAUUUUCUUCCAUACAAUGCUUCAUAAGGCGGCAUGCCUAUACUAGCGUGAUAGUUGUUGUUACUUGUGUAUCCUCACAGAUCCUACACAAUUAUUUGUAUUCAUAGGCAUAUUAGCCAAAUAGAUAAGUCAUAUAUCUUGUAAGUUCACGUAUCACAUAAUCACAGUGAUCAUACUUUUAGUUUAUAUUCUCAUACUUGAGAUAUUUCUUUACAUUUUCAAAUAUCUCAUCCAUGUUCUUACAAUCGCCUUUUCUUUCUGUUAAAGGGUCUGACAUAAUUUCUGCUCAUUGAUUUUAGUUCAUGUUUCUUUUACUUCUUCCAUUUGUCAUAAGUAUACUUUGCAAUUUUCCUUAGAAUUAGGUAUUCAAGGUGAAUACCUAAGAUAUUUCAUGUUUCACAAGGUAACUUGAUAGCAUAUCUUAUACAUCAAAGGUAAUUUCCAUUUGUAUGGUUAUUCCUUGGUAUUUUUUUAUGAUUUACAGACUCAUUCUGAUAUGCCAUUUCAUUAAUAUUAGCUUGUAUUCUUUUACAAAACAGUAAUUAUUAUAGCUGCUAAUCAACAGCUGUUACUGAUCAUUCUAUUUGUUAUGGUUACUGAUAUCAUCUAUAUGUUGCCACCACUAAGCAGCCACCACUAAGCAGUAAAUCCCUCCUUUGCUGCCCAUCUUAUUUAAGUUAAGGUUUUAUUAUAUAUUAUGUAUAUUUUCCCUUUUUGAAAUUCAGAAGUUAAGAGUUACAAGUAAACUCUAAAAUUACAACACAUAGCAAAAAAAAUGACUUACCAAAGCAGUAAUAGCAGCUGCUCGCUGCUGCUCACUACUGUUAUUAUACAGCAGUCCCUUUUCCCCAAUCCCUUGUUUUAAGAGAUCAAAAUUCUCACCGUUUUGGCCCAUGUGUUGUUACAUUUUGAAUAUCACAAUGUGAACAUUCUUUUGUUUUACUGUUUACAUAGUGCAAGGUUGUAAAUUAUGAUGUUAUAUAUUCUUCUUUUCUGUUAUUUAUGAUGAUUAACUAUGUCUCUCCUCUGUUUUCUUGUUCUUUUGGUUGUGGCAAGUGAUACCCAGAACACAAUUUUGUUUGUUUUCUCUAUGAUUGUUGUUUGCUUCUAUUUCUUGUUGUUCAUGUUUACAUCAGUGCGUUGUGGCACUUGGCUAGUGUUCUUCUUCUUUUUUAAAUCAGAUCAUACUACUUGUAUUAAUGGUUUAAGGUGGGGAUUGGAUAGAUUUGUUCCCCUUUGUAAGUCUUGUACCACAUUCUGCAUAGAAAUGAAAGAGGUGUUGAUUCAUUCUUUAACACUGAGCUCACUUUUUAUUCCUUUUGUCAUGGCAUCUCCUAUUCCUAGAUAGUCCCUCCGUUUUGGGGGGGAAAAAGAGACCUCAUUUGCAAAAUAUAUAAAUAUUACUGUAUUUUUAGUACUGCUAACCUGAUAAUGAAAUUAGGAAAAAUAAUUUGAGGAAUUCUGUAUUUUUUUAAACCUUUAGUUUUUGGGGUGGAGGGAGUAUCAAGUUAUUCAACUAAUACUCUUAGAAAAAGAGUCGGUUUUUUUCUUCUUGUUUUUCAAUUUCAUCUAAAACAGCCCCACUUCCUUUGUAUUUUUUUCUCAACAUACAAAGAACUUAUAAAGACAUAAAGAGACAACACAUAAAGACCAUGCUCUCCUUUUUACAGUCUUACUUAGUGAGUUCAGAUUUGAAAUUUGAAGGUUUGAGGUUUAUGCUUUAAUUAUUGUAUGUACAGAAACCUUUGUUGAUAUAACCAAUGAAGGGGUUUUAAUUUUAAAAUUGCAUAUUCUUAAUUUUGUUCUCUUUGCUUGGAAGGUACAUCAAUAUGGAUUCUCAAAUUGAUAAUGCAAGCAUGGAUAAGCCAAAAGUUAGAAAGGCAGAAAAUUAUACUGUAGCGGAAGACCUCAUUAUAAUUGCGGCAUGGGAGCAUACUAGUGAGGAUGUGGUGAUUGGAACUGACCAAGCCAAAGAACAAUAUUGGACUAGAGUAUGGAGAGAGUACUUGUCGAAUGCAAGCAGCUAUCCAUAUCGACCAGAGAAAUCAAUAAUCAACCGAUUCAGCAUUAUCAGGACUAAAUGCUUGAAGUUUUCUGGGAUUGUUCAAAGCAUUGAGUAUGCGAAUCCGAGUGGAAUGACUGACCAAGACAAGGUAAAAUUUCCUUUAUUAUAAUAAUCACUUUAAUAUAUAAAUGAUAGUUUCAUAUUUAUUAUUUUGACAUAUUGCACAAUAUUUUUAUAGCUUAAUCAAGCCAUUAAAACAUGGUCUUCAGAGGAGAAGGAAAAAGGUGUUUUCAAGUUUUUACACUUAUCAAGUGCUCAAGAAUUCUCCAAAGUGGAUUACAGAAGUGGUGCACCCCAAUUUGAGCCGAAGUGUAGCUGCAUCAGAUUCGAUCAAUUUAGGAGACGAUGCGAGUGCCUCUGGUCAUGUAGAAAUGGAAAGGCCAAUUGGUAAGAAGGCCGGUAAAGAGCGACGGAAGAACAAAAAAAUGAAGGUGGAAGAUAGUGAAGAGUCUCAAACCAGCAUUCAUUUCGAAAAGUCACAAGAUUUAAUGCAAAAAUUUCAUGAUCAGAAGAUGGAUGUCAUUUUCCAGGAUAGCAAAAAAAUGGAUGAAUAUCUACAGUUGAAGAGGGAGAAACUUGAACUUGAUAGGGAGCAUAAAGAGGAGAAGGUUAUGACUAUUGACAUGUCUAGCUUGAAUGAGAUGCAGCGAAAGUACAUUGAAAUGAAACAAGCAAAGAUCUUUGAAAGAGCGUUUAACAAGUAGACGAUUUAGUUGUCCUAUCUAACUUUCUAUGGACUUGUAGCAAUUUUAGUGUGUUUCUGUUUCUUUAGGUUUACUAAAAUUUCAAUAUCUCUCGACUUGUAUUUUUUGAAGUUUGUUUGGACUUAUGGUAAUUGAAGUUUCUUUGGACUUAUUUUAACCUACAAUUACUUUACGAAAUUUUAUUAUGAUAUUAUAUAAAUGCUUGACAUUAUAUUUAAACAAAAAACUUGAACUUGACAUUACAUUCAAAAAUUCAAACAGAACAAUAGAACUUAAACAUUUAUUAUAUAAGCAGAAACACAAUUACUCAACAUUUUCGUGCCUUUCCCAUAGAUGCUCAAUUAAGUCUUCUUGAAGACGACGAUGCAUAAUUUUAUCUUGUAACUUUUCACGUCCCGCAAUGAAUUGGUUAUAAUCAAAGUGUUCAUACCCGCAAUCGACUAUUGGAGAGGAAAUUUCUUCAAAUAAAUAAUAGUUACCUUUCUCCAAUGACUUGUAUAGGUCACGCUCGUCUUCUACAAUCAUGUUAUGCAUUAUAAUGCAUGCCUUCAUGAUAUUCUUCAAUGUUGCUAACCUAAAAUACCUGCAAGGUUGCCGAAUUAUAUGAAAACGUGAUUGGAGAACUCCAAAUGCACGUUCCACAUCUUUCCGUGUAGACUCUUGAGCACUUGCAUAAUUUUUUGCCUUUUGAGUUUGUGGCAUUUGGAUUGUUUUUGCAAUAGUAGGACCAUUUUGGAUAGAUACCAUCCGCCAAAUAAUAUCCCGUAUCGUAUUGAUGAUUAUUGAUGAUAAAGUUCACUGACGGAGCACGACCAUUAAUAACAUCUGCAAAGAUAGGAGAACGUUCAAGAACAUUGAUGUCAUUGAGUGAACCUGGAAGGCCGAAGAAAGUAUGCCAUAUCCAAAGAUCACGUGAGGCCACUGCCUCUAAUAUUACUGUUGCAUCACCACAAUGGCCCGAGUAGUGACCCUUCCAUCCACUUGGACAAUUUUUCCAUGUCCAAUGCAUACAAUCAAUGCUGCCAAGCAUUCCUGGGAAUCCACGCUCCUCAUGUAGUAAAAAUAACCUACUUACAUCGUUGGCAGUAGGUGACCUCAAGUAUUAAUCACCAAAAAUAUUAAUCACUGCUUCAACAAAUUUUUUCAUUGCCUCAUUUGCUGUGCUUUCUGCAAGCCGAAGAUACUCAUCCACCAAAUCACCAGAAACUCCAUAACACAACAUUCUGAGUGCUGCAGUAACUUUUUGUAAUGAAGAUAAGCCCUCUGUGCGUGCAGCAUUUCGACGUUGCACAAAAUAUUCAUCAUAAGCCAAAACAGCAUCAUGAAUGCGGAGGAAUAAAUUACGACUCAUGCGAAAUCGUCUUCGAAAUAGUCUGUGAGGAAAUGUCGGGGUUGGGGAGAAGUAAUCUCGUACCAAGUUUUCAUGGCCCGUCUUACGAUCACGAUCGAUGUAAACAUGACCGAGAACAGAACCUCGAUGUGUCUUCGCUUUGCCUUUUCUCUCUGAAAUUUCUCCUUCCAUGGUUAAACAAUUUUCAUGCAGAACCUCUUGUUCAGUAGAGUCAAGUUAAAGAUGUUGAUGCCUUCUUCGAAAAAACUGAAACAUUUAUGAUGUUAGAAGUAGGAGAAGAAUGCUAAAUUGAAAUGACCGUUGCACUUUUUGAUUUCUAGCAACAUCUAUUUUUAAAUUAAAAUAAUAGCAUUUUUUAAAUUCAAACAUCAAUUAUUUUUAACUAAAAAAUAGUUACAACGGUCAAAACAUGUUUUAAUUGUUGGAACUUUCAAAUUUUAAAUUUUAAAUUUUAAAUUUUAUUAUUUAAGGAAUCAAUAUAAGGAAUCUGUUGGGUACAUACUGAAAAAAUUAAAUCCCUAUCCUGCAGAAUGACCCAAUAGCACUGCAGAGUAGGGAUAAAGAUAAGGAAACUGUUGUAAAUGCUCUAAGCCUUGAUUUCCGAAUUAGUUGGUUGCAACCCAAACACUUCUGAGUUUCUCCCACUUGAUAGCGUAACCUUCCUUAGUUAUCAGAGCUUUCCCAAACUAACAGAACAUAAAGCGUCUACCAGAUUUUUCUUUUAACAACAAAGAGCCUAUUACUUGAACAUGAACUGGAGAAGGGUUAUAUGAUAUCUAAGUUCUGAUAUCUUUAACAGAGAUCUACACUUAAAGGAGUAUAUAUGUGGUUAAUACGUUUGUAGGCUAACUGAGUUGUUAAUGCUAGGUUUCUGAUUAAAUGCUAGCUCAUGCUAAACUAAUAGAUCAUUUCCUGAUUAAAAGCCACGUAUCCCACAUUAAGCUGAGUUUUAAUUUUCUACUGUUAAGCUUUAAUUCUUAAGGCUGUGUUUGGGCAAGAAAAUAACAAUUACCUCCCUUUCUGUACUUAUUGCACCACUUAUAACGUAUUUUAGAUAUACCAAAAUGCAUUUCAAAAUUUUGAAUAAAAUAUCCAUACAUCAUUUCCAUCAAAGUAGAGGGUAUUUAUUAAAUAUAAUAAAUAUUAAUUAUUAUACUUAACAUAUCACCACAUCACAUAUUACACUACAUCACAUAUUACACUGCACAUGAUAAUAUCAUAACACAUACUGAAGUAUAUAUAUGUAAACAAAAUAUUCUAGAAAAAUCUUAUUUUAUUUACUCAAGAAAAAUGCGAUUCCCUACAUUUUCCCUCCCUUAUAAAGAUUUCGUCCUCGGAAUCGAAAAGUACAAUUACCCGAACAAAUGCGGAUAAUUCUUUUUCAUUCUUUCUUCUAACUCCCACGUUGCUUCUUCAGCGUUGUGGUUUCUCCACAAUACCUUUACUGAAAGUAUUGUCUUAUUUCGCAAAAUUUGUUCUUUCCUAUCCAAUAUUUGCACAGGAACCUCUUCGUAGGUUAAAUCUUUCUCAAAUUGGAUAGGCUCAUAUUCAAUCACAUGUUUAUAAUUUGGCUUGUAUGGUCGUAAAACUGACACGUGAAACACAUUAUGAACAUGCUCUAGCUCCGGGGGUAAAGCUACUUCAUAAGUUACCUCUCCCACUUUUCUCAAAACUUCAAACGGUCCUAUAAAACGAGAACUUAACUUUCCCUUCUUUCCGAAACGUAUCUUCCCUUUCCAGGGAGAUACUUUCAGAAACACAUGCGAUCCGACUUCAAAAUCUCUUUUCUGUCUGUGCAAAUCUGCAUACUUCUUCUGGCGAUCUUGAGCAGUUAUUAAUCGCAUUCGUAUCAACUUAACUACUUCUGCAGUUUGUUGUACUAGUUCGGGACCUAGUAGACGACGUUCGCCCACUUCAUCCUAACACAAGGGUGUUCUGUAUUUUCUUCCAUACAAUGCUUCAUAAGGCGGCAUGCCUAUACUAGCGUGAUAGCUGUUGUUACUUGUGUAUCCUCACAGAUCCUACACAAUUAUUUGUAUUCACAAGCAUAUUAGCCAAAUAGCUAAGUCAUAUAGCUUGUAAGUUCACGUAUCACAUAAUCACAGUGAUCAUACUUUGUUUAUAUUCUCAUACUUGAGAUAUUUCUUUACAUUUUCAAAUAUCUCAUCCAAUGUUCUUACAAUCGCCUUUUCUUUCUGUUAAAGGGUUUGACAUAAUUUUUGCUCAUUGAUUUUAGUUCAUGUUUCUUUUACUUCUUCCAUUUGUCAUAAGUAUACUUUGCAAUUUUCCUUAGAAUUAGGUAUUCAAGGUGAAUACCUAAGAUAUUUCAUGUUUCACAAGGUAACUUGAUAGCAUAUCUUAUACAUCAAAGGUAAUUUCCAUUUGUAUGGUUAUUCCUUGGUAUUUUUUUAUGAUUUACAGACUCAUUCUGAUAUGCCAUUUUGUUAAUAUUAGCUUGUAUUCUUUUACAAAACAGUCAUUAUUAUAGCUGCUAAUCAACAGCUGUUACUGAUCAUUCUAUUUGUUAUGGUUACUGGUAUCAUCUAUAUGUUGCCACCACUAAGCAGUAAAUCCCUCCUUUGCUGCCCAUCUUAUUUAAGUUAUGGUUUUAUUAUAUAUUAUGUAUAUUUUCCCUUUUUGAAAUUCAGAAGUUAAGAGUUACAAGUAAACUCUCAAAUUACAACACAUAGCAAAAAAAAAUGACUUACCAAAGCAGUAAUAGCAGCUGCUCGCUGCUGCUCACUGCUGUUAUUAUACAGCAGUCCCUUUUCCCCAAUCCCUUGUUUUAAGAGAUCAAAAUUCUCACCGUUUUGGCCCAUGUGUUGUUACAUUUUGAAUAUCAAAUUGGUGGUGUACUCACCCCUUUAAGAAAAUAUUAGCCAACUGAUAUGGGUUACUACUAUUUAACAUCCAUAAGAGCAAGAAGACCUCUUUUGUGUUGCCCAAAACAGUCACCUACUGUUGCCGUUAGGCAGCAGCCCCCCUUUCUUAACCACUACCUUGUUAAACUUUUAUUCCUUACAUUCUUGAUUUGUUUAUAUGAAGUUUUGAAAAUAAUAUAAUUGAUACUUCCACACUAAGAUAAUCUAUUGAGUCAACUGCUGCUGCCCAUAGGCAGCAGCCCUUCCAGUGCUUUGCCCAGCCUUAACCCCUACAUUAACGACCCCUUUACACUAUGUUUUGGACAUUACCCAACUGGUAUUUACACUUAUUACAGAGAAAUACCAGCUGGGCUGUUUUAGAAAUUUAUCUACACUAAAUGAGAGUCCAAGGAAGCCCCCAUCUGAUGCCAUAAACAGACAUGCAUAAACAGACAUAGCUGCCACCGUGGGCAGCAGCCCUACUCUUAUUUAAUGCCAUUUUUGGCAACCAUUUGGUAAAUUAGUCACAACCUUUUAUCAAAAAUAUUUACAUAAUACACCCCACCUUAAAAUAACAUGCAAUCUAUAAUCUCUACAAAUAAUAUGCAAUCAACUUGGUGGCUGCCCCAAAACAGUGAGUAAAAGUGUGUUAAAUUCUAGCAUUUAAGUUUAGCUUAAAAAAAAUAGUUUUCAUUCCAUUUUACAAGACACAACCCUUUACUUACCCUCAAGCAUGGUAUAUAUAUAUAACCCAUGCUUUAAUUCUAACGAAUAAGCAAUUGUUAAGCAAAACAGUUCAUUGAGGAAUUUUAUCAAACACUUUACAGGCACUGUUUUGUAACACAAAUGUCAUAGCUAUUUAUUUUCUUUAAAAAUACCAGUUUAGUUCCCUUAUUACUCCACAGCCACCUAUCUCCUUGUGCCUAAAUUAUAUACAUAGCAGUUGAUUACACAAUCACAUGAAUAAUCAAGUAGUUGACAAUCUAAUUAGCUUAUUUUCUUCAUAACAUGCAAUUCUUUUGAGAAACACAUACCUAUACUAAAUAGAAAAAUCCCACUGUUUAGCAUGCUAUCCCCGAAUGGUUACACUACUAUAUAAAAUCAAAUCGGUAGCACACCUUCCCACUCAACCCGUAGCAAUUCCCAUAACCAUUAAGUAGUGCAUAUAAAACAUUUUAAAGUAAAUAUAUAGCAAAGAUGCAUUACCUUUCUAAGCCUUGAUUUCCGAAUUAGUUGGUUGCAACCCAAACACUUCUGAGUUUCUCCCACUUGAUAGCGUAACCUUCCUUAGUUAUCAGAGUUUUCCCAAACUAACAGAACAUAAAGCGUCUACCAGAUUUUUCUUUUAACAACAAAGAGCCUAUUACUUGAACAUGAACUGGAGAAGGGUUAUAUGAUAUCUAAGUUCUGAUAUCUUUAAUAGUGAUCUACACUUAAAGGAGUAUAUACGUGGUAAAUACGUUUGUAGGCUAACUGAGUUGUUAAUGCUAGGUUUCUGAUUAAAUGCCAGCUCAUGCUAAACUAAUAGAUCAUUUCCUGAUUAAAAGCCACGUAUCCCACAUUAAGCUGAGUUUUAAUUUUCUACUGUUAAGCUUUAAUUCUUAAGGCUGUGUUUGGGCAAGAAAAUAACAAUUACCUCCCUUUCUGUACUUAUUGCACCACUUAUAACGUAUUUUAGAUAUACCAAAAUGCAUUUCAAAAUUUUGAAUAAAAUAUCCAUACAUCAUUUCCAUCAAAGUAGAGGGUAUUUAUUAAAUAUAAUAAAUAUUAAUUAUUAUACUUGACAUAUAUGUAAACAAAAUAUUCCUGAAAAAUCUUAUUUUAUUUACUCAAGAAAAAUGCGAUUCGCUACAUUUUCCCUCUCUUAUAAAGAUUCCGUCCUCGGAAUCGAAAAGUACAAUUACCCGAACAAAUGCGGAUAAUUCUUUUUCAUUCUUUCUUCUAACUCCCACGUUGCUUCUUCAGCGUAGUGGUUUCUCCACAAUACCUUUACGGAAGGUAUUGUCUUAUUUCGCAAAAUUUGUUCUUUCCUAUCCAAUAUUUGCACAGGAACCUCUUCGUAGGUUAAAUCUUUCUCAAAUUGGAUAGGCUCAUAUUCAAUCACAUGUUUAUAAUCUGGCUUGUAUGGUCGUAAAACUGACACGUGAAACACGUUAUGAACAUGCUCUAGCUCCGGAGGUAAAGCUACUUCAUAAGCUACCUCUCCCACUUUUCUCAAAACUUCAAACGAUCCUAUAAAACGAGGACUUAACUUUCCCUUCUUUCCGAAACGUAUUUUCCCUUUUCAAGGAGAUACUUUCAGAAACACAUGCGAUCCGACUUCAAAAUCUCUUUUCUGUCUGUGCAAAUCUACAUACUUUUUCUGGUGAUCUUGAGCAGUUAUUAAUCGCAUUCGUAUCAACUUAACUACUUCUGUAGUUUGUUGUACUAGUUCGGGACCUAGUAGACGACGUUCGCCCACUUCAUCACAACACAAGGGUGUUCUGCAUUUUUUUCCAUACAAUGCUUCAUAAGGCGGCAUGCCUAUACUAGCGUGAUAGUUGUUGUUACUUGUGUAUCCUCACAGAUCCUACACAAUUAUUUGUAUUCACAGGCAUAUUAGCCAAAUAGAUAAGUCAUAUAUCUUGUAAGUUCACGUAUCACAUAAUCACAGUGAUCAUACUUUUAGUUUAUAUUCUCAUACUUGAGAUAUUUCUUUACAUUUUUCAAAUAUCUCAUCCAUGUUCUUACAAUCGCCUUUUCUUUCUGUUAAAGGGUCUGACAUAAUUUCUGCUCAUUGAUUUUAGUUCAUGUUUCUUUUACUUCUCCCAUUUGUCAUAAGUAUAUUGCAAUUUUCCUUAAAAUUAGGUAUUCAAGGUGAAUACCUAAGAUAUUUCAUGUUUCACAAGGUAACUUGAUAGCAUAUCUUAUACAUCAAAGGUAAUUUCCAUUUGUAUGGUUAUUCCUUGGUAUUUUUUUAUGAUUUACAGACUCAUUCUGAUAUGCCAUUUCGUUAAUAUUAGCUUGUAUUCUUUUACAAAACAGUCAUUAUUAUAGCUGCUAAUCAACAGCUGUUACUGAUCAUUCUAUUUGUUAUGGUUACUGAUAUCAUCUAUAUGUUGCCACCACUAAGCAGUAAAUCCCUCCUUUGCUGCCCAUCUUAUUUAAGUUAUGGUUUUAUUAUAUAUUAUGUAUAUUUUCCCUUUUUGAAAUUCAGAAGUUAAGAGUUACAAGUAAACUCUCAAAUUACAACACAUAGCAAAAAAAAUGACUUACCAAAGCAGUAAUAGCAGCUGCUCGCUGCUGCUCACUGCUGUUAUUAUACAGCAGUCCCUUUUCCCCAAUCCCUUGUUUUAAGAGAUCAAAAUUCUCACUGUUUUGGCCCAUGUGUUGUUACAUUUUGAAAAUCAAAUUGGUGGUGUACUCACCCCUUUAAGAAAAUAUUAGCCAACUGAUAUGGGUUACUACUAUUUAUUAUCCAUAAGAGCAAGAUAGACCUCUUUUGUGUUGCCCAAAACAGUCACCUACUGUUGCCGUUAGGCAGCAGCCCCCCUUUCUUAACCACUACCUUGUUAAACUUUUAUUCCUUACAUUCUUGAUUCGUUUAUAUGAAGUUUUGAAAAUAAUAUAAUUGAUACUUCCACACUAAGAUAAUCUAUUGAAUCAACUGCUGCUGCCCAUAGGCAGCAGCCCUUCCAGUGCUUUGCCCAGCCUUAACCCCUACAUUAACGACCCCUUUACACUAUGUUUUGGACAUUACCCAACUGGUAUUUACACUUAUUACAGAGCAAUACCAGCUGGGCUGUUUUAGAAAUUUAUCUACACUAAAUGAGAGUCCAAGGAAGCCUCCAUCUGAUGCCAUAAACAGACAUGGCUGCCGCCAUGGGCAGCAGCCCUGCUCUUAUUUAAUGCCAUUUUUGGCAACCAUUUGGUAAAUUAGUCACAACCUUUUAUCAAAAAUAUUUACAUAAUACACCCCACCUUAAAAUAACAUGCAAUCUAUAAUCUCUACAAAUAAUAUGCAAUCAACUUGGUGGCUGCCCCAAAACAGUGAGUAAAAGUGUUUGUCAAGCUAAAUUCUAGCAUUUAAGUUUAGCUUAAAAAAAAUAGUUUUCAUUCCAUUUUACAACAACCCUUUACUUACCCUCAAGCAUGGUAUAUAUAUAUAACCCAUGCUUUAAUUCUAACGAAUAAGCAAUUGUUAAGCAAAACAGUUCAUUGAUGAAUUUUAUCAAACACUUUACAGGCACUGUUUUGUAACACAAGUGUCAUAGCUAUUUAUUUUCUUUAAAAAUCCCAGUUUAGUUCCCUUAUUACUCCACAGCCACCUAUCUCCUUGUGCCUAAAUUAUAUACAUAGCAGUUGAUUACACAAUCACAUGAAUAAUCAAGUAGUUGACAAUCUAAUUAGCUUAUUUUCUUCAUAACAUGCAAUUCUUUUGAGAAACACAUACCUAUACUAAAUAGAAAAAUUCCACUGUUUAGCAUGCUAUCCCCGAAUGGUUACACUACUUUAUAAAAUCAAAUCGGUAGCACACCUUCCCACUCAACCCGUAGCAAUUCCCAUAACCAUUAAGUAGUGCAUAUAAAACAUUUUAAAGUAAAUAUAUAGCAAAGAUGCAUUACCUUUCUAAGCCUUGAUUUCCGAAUUAGUUGGUUGCAACCCAAACACUUCUGAGUUUCUCCCACUUGAUAGCGUAACCUUCCUUAGUUAUCAGAGCUUUCCCAAACUAACAGAACAUAAAGCGUCUACCAGAUUUUUCUUUUAACAACAAAGAGCCUAUUACUUGAACAUGAACUGGAGAAGGGUUAUAUGAUAUCUAAGUUCUGAUAUCUUUAACAGAGAUCUACGCUUAAAGGAGUAUAUACUUGUAAUACGUUUGUAGGCUAACUGAGUUGUUAAUGCUAGGUUUCUGAUUAAAUGCCAGCUUAUGCUAAACUAAUAGAUCAUUUCCUGAUUAAAAGUCACGUAUCCCACGUUAAGCUGAGUUUUAAUUUUCUACUGUUAAGCUUUAAUUCUUAAGGCCG